rnacentral:miRNA from 1 species
GUACAUUGCAGAGGGGGGCCCAGCAGCACACACUGUCUUCCUUUCCAGUUCCUCUCUGACGAACUCUCGCGAGACCGGCCUGUGUUCUGUGCGGAGUGUUGCCAUGGGCUCUGGCGGCCACAGGAGAGUUAGAAAGAGAGGAGCUGGAAUGAGGACAGUGUGUGCUGCUGGGCCCCCCUCUGCAAUUUA